rnacentral:lncRNA from 1 species
CGGAGGUAUGAUUUAAAGAUGCUUUUUACUAAGAUCAUAUCUAUUUUGCUUUGCUAUCCAUGCUCAGAAUUACAACAUAUGCAUAGUUUAGGUUGCUCUAGAUUGGUUACCUCUACUCUUUAUGUUAUCUGUCUAUAUAUGCUUAGUAGAUUGGAUUUGAAUCACUCAUCAACAACAAGUUCAUACUAACAAUACUAGUUGAAAUAGAUCUUGUGCUAUAAGUUACACAGAUUGAUAAACCUUGGGGAAAUACUCUGAGGGGAGAGCUACAACUAAUCCGUGCACUUACGGUUAACAAAUUGGCAUGCUAACUACCAUCAACAAGCUUUCUUUCAU